AGUGAACGCUGGCGGUAGGCCUAACACAUGCAAGCCGAACGGCAGCACAGUAAGAGCUUGCUCUUACGGGUGGCGAGUGGCGGACGGGUGAGGAAUACAUCGGAAUCUACUUUUUCGUGGGGGAUAACGUAGGGAAACUUACGCUAAUACCGCAUACGACCUACGGGUGAAAGCAGGGGAUCUUCGGACCUUGCGCGAUUGAAUGAGCCGAUGUCGGAUUAGCUAGUUGGCGGGGUAAAGGCCCACCAAGGCGACGAUCCGUAGCUGGUCUGAGAGGAUGAUCAGCCACACUGGAACUGAGACACGGUCCAGACUCCUACGGGAGGCAGCAGUGGGGAAUAUUGGACAAUGGGCGCAAGCCUGAUCCAGCCACACCGCGUGGGUGAAGAAGGCCUUCGGGUUGUAAAGCCCUUUUGUUGGGAAAGAAAAGCAGCAGGUUAAUACCCCGCUGUUCUGACGGUACCCAAAGAAUAAGCACCGGCUAACUUCGUG
rnacentral:rRNA from 1 species